rnacentral:rRNA from 1 species
UACAGAGGGGGCAAGCGUUGUUCGGAAUUACUGGGCGUAAAGGGCGCGUAGGCGGCCUGUUAAGUCGAACGUGAAAUCCCCGGGCUCAACCCGGGAACUGCGUCCGAUACUGGCAGGCUUGAAUCCGGGAGAGGGAUGCGGAAUUCCAGGUGUAGCGGUGAAAUGCGUAGAUAUCAGGAGGAACACCAGCGGUGUAGACGGCUUUCUGGACCAUUGCUGACGCUGAGACACGAAAGCGUGGGUAGCAAACAGG